GACGAACGCUGGCGGCGUGCUUAACACAUGCAAGUCGAACGGUGAAGCUCCAGCUUGCUGGCGUGGAUCAGUGGCGAACGGGUGAGUAACACGUGAGCAACCUGCCCCAGACUCUGGAAUAAGCGCUGGAAACGGCGUCUAAUACUGGAUACGAGAUCAAGCCGCAUGGUUAUGGUCUGGAAAGUUGUUCGGUUUGGGAUGGGCUCGCGGCCUACCAGCUUGUUGGUGAGGUAGUGGCUGACCAAGGCGACGACGGGUAGCCGGCCUGAGAGGGCGACCGGCCACACUGGGACUGAGACACGGCCCAGACUCCUACGUGAGGCAGCAGUGGGGAAUAUUGCACAAUGGGCGAAAGCCUGAUGCAGCGACGCCGCGUGAGGGAUGACGGCCUUCGGGUUGUAAACCUCUUUCAGCAGGGAAGAAGCGAAAGUGACGGUACCUGCAGAAGAAGCACCGGCUAACUACGUG
rnacentral:rRNA from 1 species